AAUACGUUCCCGGGCCUUGUACACACCGCCCGUCACACCACGAAAGUCGGCAACACCCGAAGCCGGUGGCCUAACCCUUUUGGGAAGGAGCCGUCGAAGGUGGGGUCGGUGAUUGGGGUG
rnacentral:rRNA from 1 species